GUUCAGUAUCUGAAUUGAGCUUAAAAAUUAAUGAUUUGAAAGUCGAUUUUUCAAAACGUAAGUUAAUUACGUUUGAAAAAUCGAGCGAAUCAGCUCGAUUUAAUAAUCGAGUCAUGAAAUUUGGUGACACGGUUCAGUUUUCGUCCGGGAGAUAUGAGAUGAACAGUUUACCUCUUAUGAUUGUUAAAGGAAGAAAUUGAAUAAAUAAAAAAAAUCGAAUGUUUUUUAUUUUUUGGUUAUAUGUGUAACAAUUUAUUAGAAAAUGUUUUUUUGUAUGUUCCCACAAACAUUUUUGUGUAUAUAAUAUAUGGUAGGUGUAUACCAAUUUGGAAU
rnacentral:misc_RNA from 1 species